CUUACUCAGGGCUGCAAGGCAGUGCUUCUCCACUCUGGAGCCACAGCUCAGAGCUCUCUCCUCAAGCCAUGAAAGGAAAGAAGAUGAAGCUGAAAGACCGGGAGAAAACAGUCAAACUCAGCUUGCUACGGGUGAGAAGGUAAUCAGCAGUAACUGGUUUGUGUGCCCAUACCCCGAGACUCCUGACAACUGAGAUGGAAGAAAUAGUUGGCCCAACAGCUAGCAAGAGCGUUGUGUUGUCACGGUGCAACUGAAGUUGGACAAAAGACCAGCAAGCCCGUUGGAUGAGAGAGGCCAGGUAGGAUGGAUCAUCGUAUUCCUCACGCCUGUAACAAUCUGAACAUGCCCUAUUAAUUGAUCGCACCGUGGGACAUCAGGUCACAGCCCUCGCUUGACUCCAUGGCAGCUUCUAUGCCGAACCUUGCUGCUACCAGAAAUGUGAUGUUCUGAACAGAAUUGCAUUUCUAAUGUGCAGCUGUAUUUCCUUAGAUAAAUAACCUUGUGGCAGAGCAGCCAAUAACUGUGUCUUAAGAUACGGUAGUUGAAAUGACGCAUCCUUCUU